rnacentral:rRNA from 1 species
AUCGAAUCUUUGAACGCACCUUGCACCCUUUGCAUUCCGAAGGGUAUGCUCGUUUGAGUGUCAUUGUACUCUCACACUCUCUGAUCCUUUGGGAUUCGGGGAGCGGUGGACUUGGGUGUUUGCUGCUUUCCUUGUGGCUCACCUCAAAUGCGUCAGUGCACCUCUUGGUUGGACAUAGUACGGCGUGAUAAGUGUCUUCGCCGGCACCUCGCAAGAGGGUGGUCAAUUGGGAGCUCUGUGCUUUCAAACCGUCUUCGGACAAUAUCUGACAACUUGACCUCAAAUCGAGUAGGACUACCCGCUGAACUUAAGCAUAUCAAUAAGCGGAGG